rnacentral:rRNA from 1 species
GACGAACGCUGGCGGCGUGCCUAAUACAUGCAAGUAGAACGCUGAAGGAGGAGCUUGCUUCUCUGGAUGAGUUGCGAACGGGUGAGUAACGCGUAGGUAACCUGCUUGGUAGCGGGGGAUAACUAUUGGAAACGAUAGCUAAUACCGCAUAAUAGUAGAUGUUGCAUGACAUUUGCUUAAAAGGUGCAAUUGCAUCACUACCAGAUGGACCUGCGUUGUAUUAGCUAGUUGGUGAGGUAACGGCUCACCAAGGCAACGAUACAUAGCCGACCUGAGAGGGUGAUCGGCCACACUGGGACUGAGACACGGCCCAGACUCCUACGGGAGGCAGCAGUAGGGAAUCUUCGGCAAUGGACGGAAGUCUGACCGAGCAACGCCGCGUGAGUGAAGAAGGUUUUCGGAUCGUAAAGCUCUGUUGUAAGAGAAGAACGAGUGUGAGAGUGGAAAGUUCACACUGUGACGGUAUCUUACCAGAAAGGGACGGCUAACUACGUG